UUGCGGUUAAAAAGCUCGUAGUUGGAUCUCGGCGAGUAGGGGGCGGUUCGUUAUUUGACGGUACUGCCCCAUUUACUCGUGUUUUUGACAGAGGGUUGGUGGUCCCCUUUAUUGGAUGUCUCCGGUCACUGUCAGGUUUACUUUGAAAAAAUUAGAGUGCUCAAAGCAGGCUAUCAACGCCUGAAUAUUCGUGCAUGGAAUAAUAGAAUAGGAAGUCGUUUCUAUUUUGUUGGUUUUAGGAAAAUGACUUAAUGAUUAAUAGGGACAAUCGGGGGCAUUAGUAUUCAAACGACAGAGGUGAAAUUCUUGGACCGUUUGAAGACUAACUACUGCGAAAGCAUUUGCCAAGAGUGUUUUCAUUAAUCAAGAACGAAAGUUAGAGGUUCGAAGGCGAUCAGAUACCGCCCUAGUUCUAACCAUAAACGAUGCCAGCUAGCGAUCUGCGGGUGUGUAAUUCCAAGACCCCGCAGGGAGCUUCCGGGAAACCAAAGCUUGUGGGUUCCGGGGGAAGUAUGGUUGCAAAGCUGAAACUUAAAGGAAUUGACGGAAGGGCACCACCAGGAGUGGAGCCUGCGGCUUAAUUUGACUCAACACGGGAAAUCUCACCAGGCCCGGACACCGGAAGGAUUGACAGAUUGAGAGCUCUUUCUCGAUUCGGUGGGUGGUGGUGCAUGGCCGUUCUUAGUUGGUGGAGUGAUUUGUCUGGUUAAUUCCGAUAACGAACGAGACUCUGUCCUGCUAAAUAG
rnacentral:rRNA from 1 species